UGAUGAUGAUCGUGAUGAUGAUGAUGAUGAUGAUGAUCGUGAUGAUGAUGAUGAUGAUGAUGAUCGUGAUGAUGAUGAUGAUGAUGAUGAUCGUGAUGAUGAUGAUGAUGAUGAUGAUCGUGAUGAUGAUGAUGAUGAUGAUGAUCGUGAUGAUGAUGAUGAUGAUGAUGAUCGUGAUGAUGAUGAUGAUGAUGAUGAUCGUGAUGAUGAUGAUGAUGAUGAUGAUCGUGAUGAUGAUGAUGAUGAUGAUGAUCGUGAUGAUGAUGAUGAUGAUGAUGAUCGUGAUGAUGAUGAUGAUGAUGAUGAUCGUGAUGAUGAUGAUGAUGAUGAUGAUCAGCCUUUUAC